AUUGAACGCUGGCGGCAGGCCUAACACAUGCAAGUCGAGCGGAGCGGCGGACGGGUGAGUAAUGCCUAGGAAUCUGCCUGGUAGUGGGGGAUAACGUCCGGAAACGGGCGCUAAUACCGCAUACUAUCAGAUGAGCCUAGGUCGGAUUAGCUAGUUGGGGGGGUAAAGGCCUACCAAGGCGACGAUCCGUAUCUGGUGUGAGAGGAUGAUCAGUCACACUGGAACUAGGAGACGGGCCAGACUCCUACGGUAGGCAGCAGUGGGGAAUAUUGGACAAUGGGCGAAAGCCUGAUCCAGCCAUGCCGCGUGUGUGAAGAAGGUCUUCGGAUUGUAAAGCACUUUAAGUUGGGAGGCGGUACCAGCAGAAGAAGCACCGGCUAACUUCGUGCCAGCAGCCGCGGUAAUAC
rnacentral:rRNA from 1 species